rnacentral:rRNA from 1 species
UACAGAGGAUGCAAGCGUUAUCCGGAAUGAUUGGGCGUAAAGCGUCUGUAGGUGGCUUUUUAAGUCCGCCGUCAAAUCCCAGGGCUCAACCCUGGACAGGCGGUGGAAACUACCAAGCUGGAGUACGGUAGGGGCAGAGGGAAUUUCCGGUGGAGCGGUGAAAUGCGUAGAUAUUGGGAAGAACACCGGUGGCGAAGGCGACCAUCUGGACCGGAACUGACGCUGAGGCGCGAAAGCCAGGGGAGCGAAUGGG